AGGGGUUGAAGCGGACACCCCUUCAGGCGCGCGCCCAAGCUCCGU
rnacentral:ncRNA from 1 species